GCGCCCAGCCCUAAAUUCUAAUCCCUUUCUUUCUUUCUCUCUCCCCACUCUCGUACCCUCUCUCCCGACCCGCCGCGGCGCCUUUUGUUCUUCCUAGCCUCUCUCUCCUGUCGUCUGUUCUUCCAAAAAGCUCUAAUCCGACGGCCACGAUCUUCUUGUCCUCCAUUCGUACAACCACUUAUGUGCGGGCGCAUAUUCUCCGUCCACUUCCAGCCUCCAGGCAAGCCACUGUAAUUACAAGAUGGCUUUUGCUAUGCUGCAUAUGGAUUAUGGAGUAUACUGUAUUGCCUCGUCACUUAUGGUACCUUGAUAAAUGCAAAAAUUAAACAGACAGAAUAAAGUUACCAAUUAUUUUACGAGAGACCAUACCAACAAAUAGUAUGACUAUUUGGAAGCAGGGGUAUGGGUGUGAAUUAAAUUGGUGUACACAGAUUGGCUCUAAUAAAAUAUGAGUUUUGGGACU
rnacentral:sRNA from 1 species